UUUCAGCUGAUGAGUCCCAAAUAGGACGAAACGUGCAUCAAACUGGAU
rnacentral:hammerhead_ribozyme from 1 species